CCUACGGGAGACAGCAGUGAGGAAUAUUGGUCAAUGGGAGGAAUCCUGAACCAGCCAUGCCGCGUGCAGGAUGACGGCCCUACGAGUUGUAAACUGCUUUUGUACCGGGGUAAAAUGCCUUACGUGUAGGGUUUUGUAAGUACGGUAUGAAUAAGGAUCGGCUAACUCCGUGCCAGCAGCCGCGGUAAUACGGAGGAUCCGAGCGUUAUCCGGAUUUAUUGGGUUUAAAGGGAGCGUAGGUUGUUUUAUAAGUUAGCGGUGAAAUACCGAUGCUCAACCUCGAAAUUGCAACUAAUACUGGAAGACUAGAGUACAGAUGCGGCGGGCGGAAUGUGUGGUGUAGCGGUGAAAUGCUUAGAUAUUACGCAGAACACCGAUUGCGAAGGCAGCUUGCUGGACCGGAACUGACACUGAUGCACGAAAGCGUGGGGAUCAAACAGGAUUAGAUACCCGGGUAGUC
rnacentral:rRNA from 1 species